rnacentral:rRNA from 1 species
GGUUAAGCGACUAAGCGUACACGGUGGAUGCCCUGGCAGUCAGAGGCGAUGAAGGACGUGCUAAUCUGCGAUAAGCGUCGGUAAGGUGAUAUGAACCGUUAUAACCGGCGAUUUCCGAAUGGGGAAACCCAGUGUGAUUCGUCACACUAUCAUUAACUGAAUCCAUAGGUUAAUGAGGCGAACCGGGGGAACUGAAACAUCUAAGUACCCCGAGGAAAAGAAAUCAACCGAGAUUCCCCCAGUAGCGGCGAGCGAACGGGGAGGAGCCCAGAGCCUGAAUCAGUGUGUGUGUUAGUGGAAGCGUCUGGAAAGGCGCGCGAUACAGGGUGACAGCCCCGUACACAAAAAUGCACAUGCUGUGAGCUCGAUGAGUAGGGCGGGACACGUGGUAUCCUGUCUGAAUAUGGGGGGACCAUCCUCCAAGGCUAAAUACUCCUGACUGACCGAUAGUGAACCAGUACCGUGAGGGAAAGGCGAAAAGAACCCCGGCGAGGGGAGUGAAAAAGAACCUGAAACCGUGUACGUACAAGCAGUGGGAGCACGCUUCGGCGUGUGACUGCGUACCUUUUGUAUAAUGGGUCAGCGACUUAUAUUCUGUAGCAAGGUUAACCGAAUAGGGGAGCCGAAGGGAAACCGAGUCUUAACUGGGCGUUAAGUUGCAGGGUAUAGACCCGAAACCCGGUGAUCUAGCCAUGGGCAGGUUGAAGGUUGGGUAACACUAACUGGAGGACCGAACCGACUAAUGUUGAAAAAUUAGCGGAUGACUUGUGGCUGGGGGUGAAAGGCCAAUCAAACCGGGAGAUAGCUGGUUCUCCCCGAAAGCUAUUUAGGUAGCGCCUCGUGAAUUCAUCUCCGGGGGUAGAGCACUGUUUCGGCAAGGGGGUCAUCCCGACUUACCAACCCGAUGCAAACUGCGAAUACCGGAGAAUGUUAUCACGGGAGACACACGGCGGGUGCUAACGUCCGUCGUGAAGAGGGAAACAACCCAGACCGCCAGCUAAGGUCCCAAAGUCAUGGUUAAGUGGGAAACGAUGUGGGAAGGCCCAGACAGCCAGGAUGUUGGCUUAGAAGCAGCCAUCAUUUAAAGAAAGCGUAAUAGCUCACUGGUCGAGUCGGCCUGCGCGGAAGAUGUAACGGGGCUAAACCAUGCACCGAAGCUGCGGCAGCGACACUAUGUGUUGUUGGGUAGGGGAGCGUUCUGUAAGCCUGCGAAGGUGUACUGUGAGGUAUGCUGGAGGUAUCAGAAGUGCGAAUGCUGACAUAAGUAACGAUAAAGCGGGUGAAAAGCCCGCUCGCCGGAAGACCAAGGGUUCCUGUCCAACGUUAAUCGGGGCAGGGUGAGUCGACCCCUAAGGCGAGGCCGAAAGGCGUAGUCGAUGGGAAACAGGUUAAUAUUCCUGUACUUGGUGUUACUGCGAAGGGGGGACGGAGAAGGCUAUGUUGGCCGGGCGACGGUUGUCCCGGUUUAAGCGUGUAGGCUGGUUUUCUAGGCAAAUCCGGAAAACUAAGGCUGAGGCGUGAUGACGAGGCACUACGGUGCUGAAGCAACAAAUGCCCUGCUUCCAGGAAAAGCCUCUAAGCAUCAGGUAACAUCAAAUCGUACCCCAAACCGACACAGGUGGUCAGGUAGAGAAUACCAAGGCGCUUGAGAGAACUCGGGUGAAGGAACUAGGCAAAAUGGUGCCGUAACUUCGGGAGAAGGCACGCUGAUAUGUAGGUGAAGCGACUUGCUCGUGGAGCUGAAAUCAGUCGAAGAUACCAGCUGGCUGCAACUGUUUAUUAAAAACACAGCACUGUGCAAACACGAAAGUGGACGUAUACGGUGUGACGCCUGCCCGGUGCCGGAAGGUUAAUUGAUGGGGUUAGCGGUAACGCGAAGCUCUUGAUCGAAGCCCCGGUAAACGGCGGCCGUAACUAUAACGGUCCUAAGGUAGCGAAAUUCCUUGUCGGGUAAGUUCCGACCUGCACGAAUGGCGUAAUGAUGGCCAGGCUGUCUCCACCCGAGACUCAGUGAAAUUGAACUCGCUGUGAAGAUGCAGUGUACCCGCGGCAAGACGGAAAGACCCCGUGAACCUUUACUAUAGCUUGACACUGAACAUUGAGCCUUGAUGUGUAGGAUAGGUGGGAGGCUUUGAAGUGUGGACGCCAGUCUGCAUGGAGCCGACCUUGAAAUACCACCCUUUAAUGUUUGAUGUUCUAACGUUGACCCGUGAUCCGGGUUGCGGACAGUGUCUGGUGGGUAGUUUGACUGGGGCGGUCUCCUCCUAAAGAGUAACGGAGGAGCACGAAGGUUGGCUAAUCCUGGUCGGACAUCAGGAGGUUAGUGCAAUGGCAUAAGCCAGCUUGACUGCGAGCGUGACGGCGCGAGCAGGUGCGAAAGCAGGUCAUAGUGAUCCGGUGGUUCUGAAUGGAAGGGCCAUCGCUCAACGGAUAAAAGGUACUCCGGGGAUAACAGGCUGAUACCGCCCAAGAGUUCAUAUCGACGGCGGUGUUUGGCACCUCGAUGUCGGCUCAUCACAUCCUGGGGCUGAAGUAGGUCCCAAGGGUAUGGCUGUUCGCCAUUUAAAGUGGUACGCGAGCUGGGUUUAGAACGUCGUGAGACAGUUCGGUCCCUAUCUGCCGUGGGCGCUGGAGAACUGAGGGGGGCUGCUCCUAGUACGAGAGGACCGGAGUGGACGCAUCACUGGUGUUCGGGUUGUCAUGCCAAUGGCACUGCCCGGUAGCUAAAUGCGGAAGAGAUAAGUGCUGAAAGCAUCUAAGCACGAAACUUGCCCCGAGAUGAGUUCUCCCUGACUCCCUGAGAGUCCUGAAGGAACGUUGAAGACGACGACGUUGAUAGGCCGGGUGUGUAAGCGCAGCGAUGCGUUGAGCUAACCGGUACUAAUGAACCGUGAGGCUUAACCUU